ACGGGUGAGUAACACGUGGUCAACCUACCUUUAAGUGGGGGAUAACUAGCCGAAAGGUUAGCUAAUACCGCAUACGAUCUUCGCGUGGCAUCACAUGAAGAUGAAAGGAGCAAUCCGCUGAAAGACGGGACCGCGUCCCAUUAGCUAGAUGGUGGGGUAAUGGCCUACCAUGGCGACGAUGGGUAGCUGGCUUGAGAGAGCGACCAGCCACACUGGGACUGAGACACGGCCCAGACUCCUACGGGAGGCAGCAGUGAGGAAUUUUCCGCAAUGGGCGAAAGCCUGACGGAGCGACGCCGCGUGGGGGAUGAAGCUUUUCGGAGUGUAAACCCCUUUCGACCCGGACGAAUGCCCCGCAAGGGGACUGACGGUACGGGUAUAAGAAGCCCCGGCUAACUACGUGCCAGCAGCCGCGG
rnacentral:rRNA from 1 species